rnacentral:sRNA from 1 species
GUGUGCCACUCUUACACUCCGGCUCCGAGUGCGCUGUUCGCAACUACACGACGGCUGCUCGCUGCAUGUUUUGCGC